AGCAGCAGCCGCGGUAAUACGUAGGUGGCGAGCGUUGUCCGAAAUUAUUGGGCGUAAAGGGAGCGCAGGCGGACAUAUAAGUCCAUCUUAAAAGUGCGGGGCUCAACCCCGUGAGGGGAUGGAAACUGUAUGCCUUGAGUGCAGGAGAGGUAAGCGGAAUUCCCAGUGUAACGGUGAAAUGCGUAGAUAUUGGGAGGAACACCGGUGGCGAAGGCGGCUUUCUGGACUGUAACUGACGCUGAGGAGCGAAAGCGUGGGGAGCGAACAGGAUUAGAUACCCCCGUAGUCCCUGUCUCUUAUACA
rnacentral:rRNA from 1 species